AUAUUAAUGGGUUGUAACUAGGUCUAUUCUACUAUACUGAUAUAGAUAUUAAUGGGUUGUAACUAGGUUUAUUCUACUAUACUGAUAUAGAUAUUGAUGGGUUGUAACUAGGUCUAUUCUACUAUACUGAUAUAGAUAUUAAUGGGUUGUAACUAGGUUUAUUCUACUAUACUGAUAUAGAUAUUAAUGGGUUGUAACUAGGUUUAUUCUACUAUACUGAUAUAGAUAUUAAUGGGUUGUAACUAGGUCUAUUCUACUAUACUGAUAUAGAUAUUAAUGGGUUGUAACUAGGUCUAUUCUACUAUACUGAUAUAGAUAUUAAUGGGUUGUAACUAGGUUUAUUCUACUAUACUGAUAUAGAUAUUAAUGGGUUGUAACUAGGUCUAUUCUACUAUACUGAUAUAGAUAUUAAUGGGUUGUAACUAGGUCUAUUCUACUAUACUGAUAUAGAUAU